AUUUGGUUAAGAUACUAAGGGCACACGGUGGAUGCCUUGGCGCCUCCAGCCGAUGAAGGACGCGGCUACCGGCGAUACGCCCCGGGGAGGUGGAAGCAACCGUUGAUCCGGGGAUCUCCGAAUGGGGAAACCCGCCCCCUUUGGGGCAUCCCGCGCAAGCGGGAGGGGAACCCGGGGAACUGAACCAUCUCAGUACCCGGAGGAAAAGAAAUCAACCGAGAUUCCCUGAGUAGCGGCGAGCGAAAGGGGAACAGCCUAAACCGACCGUGGCGUAAAAGGCGCCGGCCGUUGCCACGGCGGGGUCGUGGGAUGCCACCGGCUCCAACCGGCGUGAGGAGCGGGGAGUUACAAAUCUCCCGGAUAGCCGAAGCGUAUGGAAAGACGCGCCAUAGAGGGUGAUAGCCCCGUAGGCGAAAUCCG
rnacentral:rRNA from 1 species